AGCGCAAUCACUUGUCUUUUAAAUGAAGACCUGUGUGAAUGGCAUAACGAGGGCUUAACUGUCUCCUUUUUCCAGUCAAUGAAAUUGAUCUCCCCGUGCAGAAGCGGGGAUAUUAACAUAAGACGAGAAGACCCUAUGGAGCUUUAGACGCCAGAACAGACCAUGUUAAGCACCCCUAAAAUAAAAGACAAAACUGAUUGGCCCCUGUUCUAAUGUCUUUGGUUGGGGCGACCGCGGGGAAACAAACAACCCCCAUGUGGACCGGGAGCACACUACUCCUACAACCCAGAGUUACAACUCCAAGCAACAGAAUUUCUGACCAACAAGAUCCGGCAUAUAGCCGAUCAACGGACCGAGUUACCCUAGGGAUAACAGCGCAAUCCUCUUUUAGAGCCCAUAUCGACAAGAGGGUUUACGACCUCGAUGUUGGAUCAGGACAUCCUAAUGGUGCAGCCGCUAUUAAGGGUUCGUUUGUUCAACGAUUAAAGUCCU
rnacentral:rRNA from 1 species